UGGCAAGCAGUUGAGGGCACAUGGUGGAUGCCUUGGCAUCAAGAGCCGAUGAAGGACGUUGGAGCCUGCGAUAAGCCCUGGGGAGUUGGCAACCGAGCUGUGAUCCGGGGGUGUCCGAAUGGGGAAACCUGGCUGGAGUCAUGUCCAGUCAUCUCCGUCUGAAUAAAAUAGGGCGGUAGAGGGGAACGCGGGGAAGUGAAACAUCUCAGUACCCGUAGGAAGAGAAAACAAUAGUGAUUCCGAGAGUAGUGGCGAGCGAAAUCGGAUCAGGCUAAACCGUCUUCGUGUGAUACCCGGCAGGGGUUGCGGGGGCGGGGUUGUGGGAGUGUUUGUCUUUCGUCUGCCG
rnacentral:rRNA from 1 species